rnacentral:rRNA from 1 species
AGCGAACGCUGGCGGCAGGCCUAACACAUGCAAGUCGAACGAACCUUUCGGGGUUAGUGGCGGACGGGUGAGUAACACGUGGGAACGUGCCUUUAGGUUCGGAAUAACUCAGGGAAACUUGUGCUAAUACCGAAUGAGCCCUUCGGGGGAAAGAUUUAUCGCCUUUAGAGCGGCCCGCGUCUGAUUAGCUAGUUGGUUGAGGUAAUGGCUCACCAAGGCGACGAUCAGUAGCUGGUCUGAGAGGAUGAUCAGCCACAUUGGGACUGAGACACGGCCCAAACUCCUACGGGAGGCAGCAGUGGGGAAUCUUGCGCAAUGGGCGAAAGCCUGACGCAGCCAUGCCGCGUGAAUGAUGAAGGUCUUAGGAUUGUAAAAUUCUUUCACCGGGGACGAUAAUGACGGUACCCGGAGAAGAAGCCCCGGCUAACUUCGUG